rnacentral:rRNA from 1 species
UACGUAGGGACCGAGCGUUGUCCGGAAUCAUUGGGCGUAAAGAGCGUGUAGGCGGCCACUUAAGUCCUGCGUGAAAUCUUGCGGCUCAACCGCAAGCGGUCGUGGGAAACUGGGUGGCUAGAGUGCGGUAGAGGGUAGUGGAAUUCCCGGUGUAGCAGUGAAAUGCGUAGAGAUCGGGAGGAACACCAGUGGCGAAGGCGGCUACCUGGACCAGCACUGACACUGAGGCACGAAAGCGUGGGGAGCAAACAGG